GAGAGACAGAGACAGACAGAGAGACAGAGAGAGAGAGAGACAGAGAGAGAGACAGAGAGACAGAGAGACAGAGAGAGAGAGGCCAGUUCUGAUGGCUGAUACAGUCCACUGCCCAAAGCUCUGAGAUUAAGAUUUAAAUAGAGGUGGGUGGCUAGGAGUGGUGUGUGUGUGUGUAUGUAGAUGCCUGGGAGGUGGAAUGAAAGGCGAGUGGGAGAGGUGAGGAGUGGACUAGACUGAAAGACAAACUGCCUGAACCAUGUCACAACAUGGAGGGGGUGACAGUCUGAACCAGGUCACAACAUGGAGGGGUGACAGGCAGUUCCCAGUCUGAACCAGGUCACAACAUGGAGGGGUGACAGGCAGUUCCCAGUCUGAACCAGGUCACAACAUGGAGGGGUGACAGGCAGUUCCCAGUCUGAACCAGGUCACAACAUGGAGGGGUGACAGGCAGUUCCCAGUCUGAACCAGGUCACAACAUGGAGGGGUGACAGGCAGUUCCCAGUCUGAACCAGGUCACAACAUGGAGGGGUGACAGGCAGUUCCCAGUCGAACCAGGUCACAACAUGGAGGGGUGACAGGCAGUUCCAAGUCUGAACCAGGUCACAACAUGGAGGGGUGACAGGCAGUUCCCAGUCUGAACCAGGUCACAACAUGGAGGGGUGACAGGCAGUUCCAAGUCUGAACCAGGUCACAACAUGGAGGGGUGACAGGCAGUUCCCAGUCUGAACCAGGUCACAACAUGGAGGGGUGACAGGCAGAUCCCAGUCUGAACCAGGUCACAACAUGGAGGGGUGACAGUCUGAACCAGGUCACAACAUGGAGGGGUGACAGGCAGUUCCCAGUCUGAACCAGGUCACAACAUGGAGGGGGGACAGGCAGUUACCAGUAUGAACCAGGUCACAACAUGGAGGGGUGACAGGCAGUUCCCAGUCUGAACCAGGUCACAACAUGGAGGGGUGACAGGCAGUUCCCAGUCUGAACCAGGUCACAACAUGGAGGGGUGACAGGCAGUUCCCAGUCUGAACCAGGUCACAACAUGGAGGGGGGACAGGCAGUUCCCAGUCUGAACCAGGUCACAACAUGGAGGGGUGAAAGGCAGUUCCCAGUCUGAACCAGGUCACAACAUGGAGGGGUGACAGGCAGUUCCCAGUCUGAACCAGGUCACAACAUGGAGGGGUGACAGGCAGUUCCCAGUCUGAACCAGGUCACAACAUGGAGGGGUGACAGGCAGUUCCCAGUCUGAACCAGGUCACAACAUGGAGGGGUGACAGGCAGUUCCCAGUCUGAACCAGGUCACAACAUGGAGGGGUGACAGGCAGUUCCCAGUCUGAACCAGGUCACAACAUGGAGGGGUGACAGGCAGUUCCCAGUCUGAACCAGGUCACAACAUGGAGGGGUGACAGGCAGUACCCAGUCUGAACCAGGUCACAACAUGGAGGGGUGACAGGCAGUUCCCAGUCUGAACCAGGUCACAACAUGGAGGGGUGACAGGCAGUUCCCAGUCUGAACCAGGUCACAACAUGGAGGGGUGACAGGCAGUUCCCAGUCGAACCAGGUCACAACAUGGAGGGGUGACAGGCAGUUCCCAGUCUGAACCAGGUCACAACAUGGAGGGGUGACAGGCAGUUCCCAGUCGAACCAGGUCACAACAUGGAGGGGUGACAGGCAGUUCCCAGUCUGAACCAGGUCACAACAUGGAGGGGUGACAGGCAGUUCCCAGUCUGAACCAGGUCACAACAUGGAGGGGUGACAGGCAGUUCCCAGUCUGAACCAGGUCACAACAUGGAGGGGUGACAGGCAGUUCCCAGUCUGAACCAGGUCACAACAUGGAGGGGUGACAGGCAGUUCCCAGUCUGAACCAGGUCACAACAUGGAGGGGUGACAGGCAGUUCCCAGUCUGAACCAGGUCACAACAUGGAGGGGUGACAGGCAGUUCCCAGUCUGAACCAGGUCACAACAUGGAGGGGUGACAGGCAGUUCCCAGUCUGAACCAGGUCACAACAUGGAGGGGUGACAGGCAGUUCCCAGUCUGAACCAGGUCACAACAUGGAGGGGUGACAGGCAGUUCCUGGAGGC